GACGAACGCUGGCGGCGUGCUUAACACAUGCAAGUCGAACGGAAAGGCCCUGCUUUUGUGGGGUGCUCGAGUGGCGAACGGGUGAGUAACACGUGAGUAACCUGCCCUUGACUUUGGGAUAACUUCAGGAAACUGGGGCUAAUACCGGAUAGGAGCUCCUGCUGCAUGGUGGGGGUUGGAAAGUUUCGGCGGUUGGGGAUGGACUCGCGGCUUAUCAGCUUGUUGGUGGGGUAGUGGCUUACCAAGGCUUUGACGGGUAGCCGGCCUGAGAGGGUGACCGGCCACAUUGGAACUGAGAUACGGCCCAGACUCCUACGGGAGGCAGCAGUGGGGAAUAUUGCACAAUGGGCGGAAGCCUGAUGCAGCAACGCCGCGUGCGGGGUGACGGCCUUCGGGUUGUAAACCGCUUUCGCCUGUGACGAAGCGUGAGUGACGGUAAUGGGUAAAGAAGCACCGGCUAACUACGUG
rnacentral:rRNA from 1 species